rnacentral:sRNA from 1 species
GCCAGGCAUGGUGGUGUGUACCUGUGGUCCCAGCUACUCAGGAGGCUGAGGUGGGAGGAUCGCUUGAGCUCAGGACUUCAAGGCUGUGGUGAGCUAUGAUUGCACCACUUCACUCCAGCCUGGGCAACAGAGUGAGACCCCAUCUCAA